CCUACGGGAGGCUGCAGUGGGGGAUAUUGCACAAUGGGGGAAACCCUGAUGCAGCGACGCCGCGUGAGUGAAGAAGUAUUUCGGUAUGUAAAGCUCUAUCAGCAGGGAAGAAAAUGACAGUACCUGACCAAGAAGCCCCGGCUAACUACGUGCCAGCAGCCGCAGUAAUACGUAGGGGGCAAGCGUUAUCCGGAUUUACUGGGUGUAAAGGGAGCGUAGACGGUUUUGUAGGUCAGGAGUGAAAGCUCGGGGUCCAACCCCGGGACUGCAUUGGAAACUGGGUAACUGGAGUACAGGAGGGGCAGGCGGAAUUCGUGGUGUAGCGGUGAAAUGCGUAGAUAUCACGAGGAACACCGGUGGCGAAGGCGGCCUGCUGAACUGAAACUGACGUUGAGGCUCGAAAGCGUGGGGAGCAAACAGGAUUAGAUACCCUUGUAGUC
rnacentral:rRNA from 1 species